CCUACGGGAGGCAGCAGUGGGGAAUAUUGCACAAUGGGGGAAACCCUGAUGCAGCGACGCCGCGUGAGUGAGGAAGUCUUUCGGUAUGUAAAGCUCUUUCAGCAGGGAAGAAAAUGACGGUAUCUGUCUAAGAAGCCCCGACUAACUACGUGCCAGCAGCCGCGGUAAUACGUAGGGGGCAAGCGUUAUCCGGAUAGACUGGGGGUAACGGGCGUGUAGGCGGGGAAGCGAGUCAGAUGUGAAAGCCAUGGGCGGAACCUGGGGCUUGCAUUUCAUACUGUGUUUCUUGAGGACUGGAGGGGCAGACAGAAUUCCAAGUGUAGCGGUGAAAUGCGUAGAUAUUAGGAGGAACACCAGAGGCGAAGGCGGUCUGCUGGAAAGGAACUGACGCUGAGGUGCGAAAGCGUGGGGAGCAAACAGGAUUAGAUACCCGUGUAGUC
rnacentral:rRNA from 1 species